UACGUAGGGUGCGAGCGUUAAUCGGAAUUACUGGGCGUAAAGCGUGCGCAGGCGGUUAUUUAAGUCGGGCGUGAAAUCCCUGGGCUCAACCCAGGAACUGCACUCGAAACUACUAUUCUUGAGUGUCGGAGAGGAAAGUCGGAAUUCCUGGUGUAGAGGUGAAAUUCGUAGAUAUUCGCAAGAACACCAGUGGCGAAGGCGGCUCACUGGCCCGGUACUGACGCUGAGGUGCGAAAGCGUGGGGAGCAAACAGG
rnacentral:rRNA from 1 species